UACGUAGGGUGCGAGCGUUGUCCGGAAUUAUUGGGCGUAAAGAGCUCGUAGGCGGUCUGUCGCGUCGAUCGUGAAAACCCGGAGCUCAACUCCGGGCCUGCAGUCGAUGCGGGCCGACUUGAGUGUUGCAGGGGAGACUGGAAUUCCUGGUGUAGCGGUGAAAUGCGCAGAUAUCAGGAGGAACACCGGUGGCGAAGGCGGGUCGCUGGGCAACAACUGACGCUGAGGAGCGAAAGCGUGGGGAGCGAACAGG
rnacentral:rRNA from 1 species